GACGAACGCUGGCGGCGUGCCUAAUACAUGCCAGUCGAGCGAAGUUUUUCUGGUGCUUGCACUAGAAAAACUUAGCGGCGAACGGGUGAGUAACACGUAAAGAACCUGCCUCAUAGACUGGGACAACUAUUGGAAACGAUAGCUAAUACCGGAUAACAGUAUUUCUCGCAUGAGAGAUAUUUAAAAGUUGGUUAUGCUAACACUAUGAGAUGGCUUUGCGGUGCAUUAGCUAGUUGGUGGGGUAAAGGCCCACCAAGGCGACGAUGCAUAGCCGACCUGAGAGGGUGAUCGGCCACACUGGGACUGAGACACGGCCCAGACUCCUACGGGAGGCAGCAGUAGGGAAUCUUCCGCAAUGGGCGAAAGCCUGACGGAGCAACGCCGCGUGAGUGAAGAAGGAUUUCGGUUCGUAAAGCUCUGUUGUUAGGGAAGGAUGGAUAUGUAGUAACUAUACAUGUAAGAGACGGUACCUAACCAGAAAGCCACGGCUAACUACGUG
rnacentral:rRNA from 1 species